AAAAAGGCUAUGACGGGAAGAGUAGGUAGGGAAGAGGUCCCAGAGAGCCGGGAUAGGUGGAAGCCGGCACCGAAGGCCCUGCCGAACAUGGUCCCCGAGCUUGCUCCGCUGAAUAAAAGUAGGCGGUGACGGGAAGGCCCGUUAAAGCCAAGAGGCCUUUUAAGGCGAAUUAGGGUGGUACCGCGGGAUACGUGCCCGCCCCUUUC
rnacentral:ncRNA from 1 species